rnacentral:rRNA from 1 species
AUUGAACGCUGGCGGCAUGCCUUACACAUGCAAGUCGAACGGUAACAGGUCUUCGGAUGCUGACGAGUGGCGAACGGGUGAGUAAUACAUCGGAACGUGCCUAGUAGUGGGGGAUAACUACUCGAAAGAGUGGCUAAUACCGCAUGAGAUCUACGGAUGAAAGCGGGGGAUCGCAAGACCUUGUGCUACUAGAGCGGCCGAUGGCAGAUUAGGUAGUUGGUGGGAUAAAAGCUUACCAAGCCGACGAUCUGUAGCUGGUCUGAGAGGACGAUCAGCCACACUGGGGCUGAGACCCGGCCCCGACUCCUACGGGAGGCAGCAGUGGGGAAUUUUGGACAAUGGGCGCAAGCCUGAUCCAGCAAUGCCGCGUGCAGGAUGAAGGCCUUCGGGUUGUAAACUGCUUUUGUACGGAACGAAAAGCCCUGGGUUAAUACCCUGGGGUCAUGACGGUACCGUAAGAAUAAGCACCGGCUAACUACGUGCCAGCCGCCGCGGUAAAAC